UACGGAGGGGGCUAGCGUUGUUCGGAAUUACUGGGCGUAAAGCGCACGUAGGCGGCUUUGUAAGUUAGAGGUGAAAGCCCGGGGCUCAACUCCGGAAUUGCCUUUAAGACUGCAUCGCUAGAAUUGUGGAGAGGUAAGUGGAAUUCCGAGUGUAGAGGUGAAAUUCGUAGAUAUUGGGAAGAACACCGGUGGCGAAGGCGGCGACCUGGUCCUUAACUGACGCUGAGGCGCGAAAGCGUGGGGAGCAAACAGG
rnacentral:rRNA from 1 species